UGGUUUUUUGUUUUGUUUUUGGUGCCUGGUCACAUGGCCAAACAAGAUCCGGUGAUUAUUGUUUUUGUUUUCCUGGAGCUGCAUGGAAGAUCUGCUGCUUGCUGGGCUUGAGGACUACUGUAGAGAGCUAGAAUUACUUCCUUACAGUAUUGUAGUUACUGAAACCGGAAACAGCUGUUUGGUGGCUGGAAAUAGCCUGCAGCAGCGGCAGGAAAAGUUUCUCAGUUCAGGCAGCCAUUGGAGGAAAUAGAUAAGGUCAAGAAGGAAAUCAACAGCAUCAGCAGCCACAACAACAUGGAGGGAACUAACCUGAAAGAGAAAUGCAUCUCCAAGAGAAUUGCUGAGGCAAAAGACAUAAUCUUUCUUUGGAUGUUCAGGGAAACCCAAUACUGUUUCCAUUUCCUCCGUGUGGCCAACUCUACCUUCUUGUUCUUUUUGUGGACAAGGAAGUUUUUCACUGCAAGAGCUCCAGCCUUCCUUACGGUUCCCUGCCCAGCUGUAAGAAGA